CACAGUCAUACGUUACCAGGUGCUCCUCAAGAGCUUAAUAGGAAAUCCCGUGAAAGUCGGGAGCGGGUCCGCCGCUGUCAUCGGGGACGAAAGCCGCAUGAAGUCACUGUCCACUGCAGGUGGAUGGGAAGGCGCGGCAAGUAGGAUAAUCCGAGAGCCAGAAGACCUGCCUGUAACAUAAGCUGUUGC
rnacentral:ncRNA from 24 species